GACGAACGCUGGCGGCGUGCUUAACACAUGCAAGUCGUACGGUAAGGUCCUUUCGGGGGUACACGAGUGGCGAACGGGUGAGUAACACGUGAGUAACCUGCCCACAACUUUGGGAUAACGCUAGGAAACUGGUGCUAAUACUGGAUAUGUGCUCCUGCUGCAUGGUGGGGGUUGGAAAGCUCCGGCGGUUGUGGAUGGACUCGCGGCCUAUCAGCUUGUUGGUGGGGUAGUGGCCUACCAAGGCGGCGACGGGUAGCCGGCCUGAGAGGGUGACCGGCCACAUUGGGACUGAGAUACGGCCCAGACUCCUACGGGAGGCAGCAGUGGGGAAUAUUGCACAAUGGGCGCAAGCCUGAUGCAGCAACGCCGCGGGCGGGAUGACGGCCUUCGGGUUGUAAACCGCUUUCAGCAGGGACGAAGCUUUUUGUGACGGUACCUGCAGAAGAAGCACCGGCUAACUACGUG
rnacentral:rRNA from 1 species